CUUCGCUGGUAGUAGUCAAGCGAAGGGGUGACGCAGGAAGGUAGCCGUACCAGUCAGUGGUAACACUGGGGCAAGCCGGUAGGGAGAGCGAUAGGCAAAUCCGUCGCUCACUAAUCCUGAGAGGUGACGCAUAGCCGGUUGAGGCGAAUUCGGUGAUCCUCUGCUGCCAAGAAAAGCCUCUAGCGAGCACACACACGGCCCGUACCCCAAACCGACACAGGUGGUCAGGUAGAGCAUACCAAGGCGUACGAGAUAACUAUGGUUAAGGAACUCGGCAAAAUGCCCCCGUAACUUCGGGAGAAGGGGGACCGGAAUAUCGUGAACACCCUUGCGGUGGGAGCGGGAUCCGGUCGCAGAAACCAGUGAGGAGCGACUGUUUACUAAAAACACAGGUCCGUGCGAAGUCGCAAGACGAUGUAUACGGACUGACGCCUGCCCGGUGCUGGAAGGUUAAGAGGACCCGUUAACCCGCAAGGGUGAAGCGGAGAAUUUAAGCCCCAGUAAACGGCGGUGGUAACUAUAACCAUCCUAAGGUAGCGAAAUUCCUUGUCGGGUAAGUUCCGACCUGCACGAAUGGCGUAACGACUUCNGACGCCUGCCCGGUGCUGGAAGGUUAAGAGGACCCGUUAACCCGCAAGGGUGAAGCGGAGAAUUUAAGCCCCAGUAAACGGCGGUGGUAACUAUAACCAUCCUAAGGUAGCGAAAUUCCUUGUCGGGUAAGUUCCGACCUGCACGAAUGGCGUAACGACUUCUCAACUGUCUCAACCAUAGACUCGGCGAAAUUGCACUACGAGUAAAGAUGCUCGUUACGCGCGGCAGGACGAAAAGACCCCGGGACCUUCACUACAACUUGGUAUUGAUGUUCGGUACGGUUUGUGUAGGAUAGGUGGGAGACUGUGAAACCUCGACGCCAGUUGGGGCGGAGUCGUUGUUGAAAUACCACUCUGAUCGUAUUGGGCAUCUAACCUCGAACCCUGAAUCGGGUUUAGGGACAGUGCCUGGCGGGUAGUUUAACUGGGGCGGUUGCCUCCUAAAAUGUAACGGAGGCGCCCAAAGGUUCCCUCAACCUGGACGGCAAUCAGGUGGCGAGUGUAAAUGCACAAGGGAGCUUGACUGCGAGACUUACAAGUCAAGCAGGGACGAAAGUCGGGAUUAGUGAUCCGGCACCCCCGAGUGGAAGGGGUGUCGCUCAACGGAUAAAAGGUACCCCGGGGAUAACAGGCUGAUCUUCCCCAAGAGUCCAUAUCGACGGGAUGGUUUGGCACCUCGAUGUCGGCUCGUCGCAUCCUGGGGCUGGAGCAGGUCCCAAGGGUUGGGCUGUUCGCCCAUUAAAGCGGCACGCGAGCUGGGUUUAGAACGUCGUGAGACAGUUCGGUCUCUAUCCGCCGCGCGCGUCAGAAACUUGAGGAAACCUGUCCCUAGUACGAGAGGACCGGGACGGACGAACCUCUGGUGCACCAGUUGUCCCGCCAGGGGCACCGCUGGAUAGCCACGUUCGGUCAGGAUAACCGCUGAAAGCAUCUAAGCGGGAAACCUUCUCCAAGAUCAGGUUUCUCACCCACUUGGUGGGAUAAGGCCCCCCGCAGAACACGGGUUCAAUAGGUCAGACCUGGAAGCUCAGUAAUGGGUGUAGGGAACUGGUGCUAACCGGCCG
rnacentral:rRNA from 1 species